GAUGAACGCUGGCGGCGUGCUUAACACAUGCAAGUCGAACGGUGAAGGCGGAGCUUGCUCUGCUGGAUCAGUGGCGAACGGGUGAGUAACACGUGAGUAACCUGCCCCUGACUUUGGGAUAAGCGCUGGAAACGGCGUCUAAUACUGGAUACGAGCUGCGAAGGCAUCUUCAGCAGCUGGAAAGAACUGCGGUUAGGGAUGAGCUCGCGGCUUAUCAGCUUGUUGGUGAGGUAACGGCUCACCAAGGCGUCGACGGGUAGCCGGCCUGAGAGGGUGACCGGCCACACUGGGACUGAGAUACGGCCCAGACUCCUACGGGAGGCAGCAGUGGGGAAUAUUGCACAAUGGGCGGAAGCCUGAUGCAGCAACGCCGCGUGCGGGACGACGGCCUUCGGGUUGUAAACCUCUUUUGGCAGGGAAGAAGCGUGAGUGACGGUACCUGCAGAAGAAGCACCGGCUAACUACGUG
rnacentral:rRNA from 1 species